GACGAACGCUGGCGGCGUGCUUAACACAUGCAAGUCGAACGGAAAGGCCCCUUUGGGGGUACUCGAGUGGCGAACGGGUGAGUAACACGUGAGUAACCUGCCCUUGACUUCGGGAUAACUUCAGGAAACUGGGGCUAAUACCGGAUAGGAAUCCUUGCUGCAUGGUGGGGGUUGGAAAGCUUCGGCGGUUUUGGAUGGACUCGCGGCUUAUCAGCUUGUUGGUGGGGUAGUGGCUUACCAAGGCUUUGACGGGUAGCCGGCCUGAGAGGGCGACCGGCCACAUUGGGACUGAGAUACGGCCCAGACUCCUACGGGAGGCAGCAGUGGGGAAAAUUGCACAAUGGGCGGAAGCCUGAUGCAGCAACGCCGCGUGCGGGAUGACGGCCUUCGGGUUGUAAACCGCUUUCAGCAGGGGCGAAGCUUGUGGUGACGGUACCUGCAGAAGAAGCACCGGCUAACUACGUG
rnacentral:rRNA from 1 species